rnacentral:rRNA from 1 species
UAACGGCCCACCGAGGCGACGAUGCGUAGGGGUUCUGAGAGGAAGGUCCCCCACACUGGUACUGAGACACGGACCAGACUCCUACGGGAGGCAGCAGUGAGGAAUAUUGGUCAAUGGGCGCGAGCCUGAACCAGCCAAGUCGCGUGAGGGAUGACGGUCCUACGGAUUGUAAACCUCUUUUGCCGGGGAGCAAGCGUGCGUUCGUGAACGCGCGUCGAGAGUACCCGGAGAAAAAGCAUCGGCUAACUCCGUGCCAGCAGCCGCGGUAAUACGGAGGAUGCGAGCGUUAUCCGGAUUUAUUGGGUUUAAAGGGUGCGUAGGCGGGAUGCCAAGUCAGCGGUAAAAAUGCGGUGCUCAACGCCGUCGAGCCGUUGAAACUGGCGUUCUUGAGUGGGCGAGAAGUAUGCGGAAUGCGUGGUGUAGCGGUGAAAUGCAUAGAUAUCACGCAGAACUCCGAUUGCGAAGGCAGCAUACCGGCGCCCUACUGACGCUGAGGCACGAAAGCGUGGGUAUCGAACAGGAUUAGAUACCCUGGUAGUCCACGCAG